rnacentral:rRNA from 1 species
CGCAAGAUUAAAACUCAAAGGAAUUGACGGGGACCCGCACAAGCGGUGGAUGAUGUGGAUUAAUUCGAUGCAACGCGAAAAACCUUACCUACCCUUGACAUGUCACUAACGAAGUAGAGAUACAUUAGGUGCUCGUAAGAGGAAGUGAACACAGGUGCUGCAUGGCUGUCGUCAGCUCGUGUCGUGAGAUGUUGGGUUAAGUCCCGCAACGAGCGCAACCCUUGUCUUUAGUUGCUACGCAAGAGCACUCUAAAGAGACUGCCGGUGACAAACCGGAGGAAGGUGGGGAUGACGUCAAGUCCUCAUGGCCCUUAUGGGUAGGGCUUCACACGUCAUACAAUGGUGCAUACAGAGGGUUGCCAACCCGCGAGGGGGAGCUAAUCUCAGAAAAUGCAUCGUAGUCCGGAUCGUAGUCUGCAACUCGACUACGUGAAGCUGGAAUCGCUAGUAAUCGCGGAUCAGAAUGUCGCGGUGAAUACGUUCCCGGGUCUUGUACACACCGCCCGUCAUACCAUGGGAGUGGGUUUUGCCAGAAGCCGUUAGCCUAACCGCAAGG